rnacentral:lncRNA from 1 species
AGUGAGGUGAUUGCUGCUGGGAUGGUGGUGAAUGACUGGUGUGCCUUCUGUGGCCUGGACACAACCAGCACAGAGCUGUCAGUGGUGGAGAGUGUCUUCAAGCUGAAUGAAGCCCAGCCUAGCACCAUUGCCACCAGCAUGCGGGAUUCCCUCAUUGACAGAUUGGGUAACUCAAGGCGUCCCUGGAGUACACUGAGGAUAAGUGUUUGAGAAAUGCUGUCUGAAGGAAUGAAGUCAGUCUAUGACAACGUCUCUCUGCCGUGAAUCAUUCCUG